CAGCCGCCGCGGGAAUACGAAGGGGGCUAGCGUUGUUCGGAUUUACUGGGCGUAAAGCGCACGUAGGCGGAUCGAUCAGUCAGGGGUGAAAUCCCAGAGCUCAACUCUGGAACUGCCUUUGAUACUGUCGAUCUGGAGUAUGGAAGAGGUGAGUGGAAUUCCGAGUGUAGAGGUGAAAUUCGUAGAUAUUCGGAGGAACACCAGUGGCGAAGGCGGCUCACUGGUCCAUUACUGACGCUGAGGUGCGAAAGCGUGGGGAGCAAACAGGAUUAGAUACCCGUGUAGUCCCUGUCUCUUAUAA
rnacentral:rRNA from 1 species